GCGGCAGGCCUAANACAUGCAAGACGAACGGUANGCGAGGNAGCAAUAUUUCGCCUAGAGNGUNGAAAGGGUGCGUAACACGUAUGCAAUCUGCCCCCAACAGGAGGAUAGCUCGGGGAAACCCGAAUUAACCCUUCAUAAUAUCACGUGAGGGCAUCCGAUUGUGAUUAAAACUGAGGUGGUUGGGGAUGAGCAUGCGUCUGAUUAGCUAGUUGGUAGGGUAAUGGCCUACCAAGGCGAUGAUCAGUAGGGGAACUGAGAGGUUGAUCCCCCACACUGGCACUGAGAUACGGGCCANANUCCUACGGGAGGCAGCAGUAGGGAAUAUUGGACAAUGGGUGCGAGCCUGAUCCAGCCAUGCCGNGUGCAGGAAGACGGC
rnacentral:rRNA from 1 species